ensembl:lncRNA
AGAGUUUGUACCAGUUCCUCCCAGACUGCUUUAGACCAUACAAAGAUGUAUUCAAUUUGCAUACCCACUUAACCCCUGUCUCUGAUAUCUGUUCAAAACCCUCUGGUUGUUCUAAGUAUGUCUUCCUCUAUCGGAGCAUGUAAAUAAGCUGUUUUCACAUCCAUCUGAUGAACAAGGAAGUUGUUCUGAGCAGCUAUCUGAAUAAUUGCCACACUGAGAUGCAUGAAGAUGAACGGAGAGAUGAGUCAUCAUGGAGAGAGGGAUCUGCUGAACGAGGGAAGAAGAGUGAGGACGAGGUGGAAGAAACGCGCCAUUCCUCGUCUUCACCGCUGUAACACGGCUCUCUGUUCUGCACUGCGCUGCGGACGCCAAAUGUUCCUGUGGCUCAACCAAAUGGAUCUACCGUGGAACAAUCACCAACCGCAAUGUGCUGCUGUUCCUGAAGAGGGCCUCAGAGGACUGAUGAUGUGAAUUACAGAGACCUGAUUGGUCACACCACUGCAUGAUACAAAUGAACACAUGUUUACAUGUUGUCUUUAUUAAAGUAUUAAUCACCUGAA